rnacentral:rRNA from 1 species
ACACUCCUGCGGGAGGCAGCAGUGGGGAAUAUUGGACAAUGGGCGCAAGCCUGAUCCAGCCAUGCCGCGUGAGUGAUGAAGGACCUAGGGUUGUAAAGCUCUUUCACCGGUGAAGAUAAUGACGGUAACCGGAGAAGAAGCCCCGGCUAACUUCGUGCCAGCAGCCGCGGUAAUACGAAGGGGGCUAGCGUUGUUCGGAUUUACUGGGCGUAAAGCGCACGUAGGCGGACUAUUAAGUCAGGGGUGAAAUCCCGGGGCUCAACCCCGGAACUGCCUUUGAUACUGGUAGUCUUGAGUUCGAGAGAGGUGAGUGGAAUUCCGAGUGUAGAGGUGAAAUUCGUAGAUAUUCGGAGGAACACCAGUGGCGAAGGCGGCUCACUGGCUCGAUACUGACGCUGAGGUGCGAAAGCGUGGGGAGCAAACAGGAUUAGAAACCCUAGUAGUCCC